UCGAGAUAAAACGAUUUUUUUCGUCACGAGGUUUCCGUAACGUUCAAUAACUACUCGUGAACAACUUACUACAGUACGUUUUUCACGGUUUAGACACACGAGUGGGACGUGCGUUCAAUAGAUUAAUAUGGGUUUUCUACAGAGUCGGCUUUACAAUGUUAAUAACUACGUGUUUCAAUCGUAUUCGGAGUAUAAUUUUAGAAAUUAAUUGAUGUGUUAUCAUAGCAGUUGUUAACGUAAAUAUCCAUAGAGACGUCCUAAUCGAUUCCCCGAUUAAUGGACACAAAAACGGAAAUACCGAAUGGAAACAAAUUUAAAAAUAUCCACAAACGGUUCAUU